rnacentral:rRNA from 1 species
GAUGAACGCUGGCGGCGUGCCUAAUACAUGCAAGUCGAGCGAACAGACGAGGAGCUUGCUCCUCUGACGUUAGCGGCGGACGGGUGAGUAACACGUGGAUAACCUACCUAUAAGACUGGGAUAACUUCGGGAAACCGGAGCUAAUACCGGAUAAUAUAUUGAACCGCAUGGUUCAAUAGUGAAAGACGGUUUUGCUGUCACUUAUAGAUGGAUCCGCGCCGCAUUAGCUAGUUGGUAAGGUAACGGCUUACCAAGGCAACGAUGCGUAGCCGACCGGAGAGGGUGAUCGGCCACACUAGAACGGAAACGCGGACCAGGCUCCUGCGGGAGGCAGCAGUAGGGAAUCUUCCGCAAUGGGCGAAAGCUUGACGGAGCAACGCCGCGUGAGUGAUAAAGGUCUACGGAUCGUAAAACUCUGUUAUGAGGGAAAAACAAAUGUGUAAGUAACUAUGCACGUCUUGACGGUACCUAAUCAGAAAGCCACGGCUAACUACGUG